CAGCGUCGCCCUCGAUGAGUCAAGCCUGGGCGAAAUGAAACUUCUUUUUCUUUAUCGAAAAUCAGGUCGCCGUGUUUUGACGUUUGUAUUAUGCUUACAAGAGUAAAAGAAACAAAACAACAGAGUUUUGAAAAUGCGCGAUUUCGAAAUUUACUUCUCGCUCUGGCUCUUGACGCUGCAACUUCGACAAACUUUUGUUGAAAACUGUUGUUGCUUGCGUGUUGGAGUAAUUUCUUAUUUUUAUUUCGGUUAGUUAAAAUAGUAUUAAAGUGCCUUUAUUCGUUGCCAUUUUUGGCGUUAAUAAUUUAUUUACUCCUACUGAAGCAUGCACCGUGAACAACAUCGACAGCAUCUGCCUCUUCAUCGUCGGGCAGAGAGCGCUACCACUGUAGUGCCCACCCACUUCUCCUUUCAACUCUUCGGAAUCAUCCCAACAUUAUUAUCGCACUGGAUCUGCCUAUAUGAUUUAAAUUAAAAAAAAAAACAACGACGGAAAACUACACCUUCGCGGGCGGAAAGGCCAACCUUCAUAAAACCGGCCCGGACAAAGAUAUUUAACAACGGAGUGCGAGCGGAAGCGAAAUGACGAAUAUCCCGGUAAAAACUACGUGGCAUCGUUGGAACCGGUAUUGAAACAAUUGGUUAAGCGAGUGGUUAAGAGAAACAACGACCCGUCGGAAAAAUCAACACACCCAUAUUGAACCUCAUUCUUUGGCGGUGGCGAUAGUUUCCGGGAAUCAUUCAGUUUUACACCUAAGUUGAAACUUUGUGUGAAUAAUGCUGCUGAUUAGUGCUGAUGAAUGUUGGACCGCCUACUUAAAUCAUUCUGGUUCUUCGCAAAGCUGAUUGCUGGCUGGUUCAAGGAAAUGAAAGUUCAAAUUGGACGAUGUGACGGUGCAGAAGCAGUCCGCAGAAUGCAUGUUUUCCACCAGCGGCAAAAAGAUGCUUCACAGAUAAAAAUGAUGUAGGUACUAUGCCUAUUUCCAACUGAUACAUAGGCUACACGGAUGUCACGCUCUAAGAAAAUUCUGACCGCAAGGACAUUGCUGGAACAGCUGGUGUAGACCGGGCAACAAUCGUGAAACAAUUCUACGCUGGAUCAGUUAGAAGAAAGGCUCUAUCAUCUUCUUGGUCCGGAUCUCCAGUGCGUCACCGAAAAGCUUGUCACAUAUUUUCAGCCUUCUCCCGACGGAAGAACCGUUCCCGUUAGAUUAUUUUGGCAUGGUUCAAGUUUCCUUUUCCUUGGUUCAGAUCCCGGAGGAGCCUUAUA